rnacentral:lncRNA from 1 species
GCAAGUCAGAUUUGAUAUCCUGAGUUAAUGGACAGUAAGUAAGGUUUGAGACCCAUAGUGGCAUGCCAAUAGGUGAACUAAAGAUUGGAUUGAGGUCCAGUAAAGCAAGUCCUGUCGGUACUAGUUUCAUUAUCUGGGUUGAGUUAAAGCAUUGUUAGGCGCAUAGGGUUAAGAAAUGAGAAGUAUGACUUAUUUGUUUCAUCCUUUCCAGUAGUAGAUCGAUUCUAUUCCCCUGUAUACGCUAUAGCAUCUCGGACCUAUUACAUCGGCUAAAGAGUAAGAGGAAGCAGUGCCGGAGUGAGAAAAGGGUAGUUCAGAUCCGAGGUAAGUAAAGUAAGGUGCUAAGAGCGAGUAUUACAAGAAUUCAAACCUUUAGCUCUAGUCUUUAAAGUGGUGGUUUGGAUUCCGAAACACACUGCCGCUACACUCUUCCCCAUUAACUUAUAUUGUAUAUUAACUUCUAUUGGAUUAAAGUAAGCAUCUAAGUUAGCAAGUAAGACUUCAAGAAAGGAGUAUAAGUUUCAAAGUCUGAGUUGAUAGUAAUCGUAUUAAUAGUUAGAAUAUUCUAAGAAGUGCAAUUCUGAGUAACAACCCUAGUAAGCCAGCCUUACUGCCUACCCUCUAAUGGGCAAAGCCUUUAUCUCAUUUCCACCAACAGGACUGAAGCUUACUCAAAAGCAAGAACACUUGAAGGCUGGAGUGGAAGCAGCUUAGGGAGUUAUAAGAAAACAGCUCCAACAUAGGAAUUGAGUGAGUCAGAUCCUAUUCUCAGACUUACCAGUGGAAUUCCAACUUCCUACCUCGCUGCCCAAUCUCAUACUACUUAGCCGGGCUGCUCCUACAACUUAGCUGCCUUAGCUGGGCUUCUCUCUGAAACUCCUGACUUUAGGCUCUUAGCACCUUGUUUUCAUUCUCUAUUUUCUGGUUUGGAUUCUCUCUUUUCAUCAUGAAAUAGAGAAAUAAGAAUGAGCUCGUGGAUGGAUUGGUUCUACCUUUCAGAAUGCGUUCGUGGUCGUGAUGCGCGAACCUUGAAGAACGAGUGAAUGAACGCUCACAGAAUAGGUGAAGCUACUUUCGAGUCCUGGAACGAACAAAGAAAAGACUGACCACCGAUAAAAGGAUUCAUUAUAUAUCUUAGGUCCGCUCACUGAAUGAUUGGGCAAAUAGUAGCUCUAUGUUGGGUAUGUUUCAUAUGAAUUAGUUAACGAUGGUCCUACUAUGAAUAAGAGAUGAUCCACUACGAACGAGGACCGAUCAAAUAAUCUGUUAUGUUAUUAAAAGAAUGGAUGUUACGUUAAGGAAUGAGCGACAUAAUACAGAGAAUAGGAGACAGGGUAGUAGGAAGUAGUUACAGCCCGAGAAGCGCUAGUCCAAUUCAGGUAUUAAUGGGAAAAGUGCUCAUUUCACUCCUGCUAGGCGUUGUUCUCAUCCCUAUCAGUAGUAGUUGGGAUCUAAUAGUACUUACUUGAAUUCAUGGUUUUGAGUUCGAUUCGUUAUUGUAAGAUAAAGUAAUAUAAUGAAUGGGGUGUCGAGUUCAAUUAACUAAUAAGUAAGGUUUGGCGGCUAUACGUUACUUGGCUGCUCUUAUACUGGUUAAUUGCAUUCCCUUUACUACACCUAGAUCUGAAACAACACCUCUCUCGUUCUAACUACUGGGCUGGGCGGGCUACCAUUCUUUCAUUAAUGAUCCGGAUCUUCACUUGCUCGACUUGAACUUAUGCUAAUACUAAGUGAUUUUGUAUUCUGAUUAUUUAGUAUAGGUUGUACUACUAUAGUCAAUAAAACACUUUUAGCAGGUAGUAGCGGACUAACAAUCAGACAUAGGAUCCGUACACCGAGUUCAAUCUACUAGGGUAGUAGUCAAUUCCGAGUUUUGAGUCUUAUUCUGAGUUAUGAGUGCAAAGCCUUAUCGGUAUUGGUUCCACUCUUGCUCUAGCACAAGUUUCCGUCUGAGAAGCAGUAGUGACCGUCUGUAUUUCCAACUUCAAUGUCCCGUUAUCCUGACUUCUUUCUUAGUUGCUUGGCGCUGACUUGGUGGUUUCAUUGGCAUCCUACCCUGACUUGAUGGUUUGACCAAUACUACUUACUGAGUGGAAUUGUGACUUUAUGGUUUCAUUAUGACUUGAGAGUUGCUGCCUUAUAGUGAGUAGCUCCAAUCUUAUAGUUAGUAGCUGGGUGCGCUGCUGGAUCGUAACCAUAUUAUCUAUUUAGACUUGUUUGCACACCUCUUCUUAUAAGUCGUCUGAUGAUGCCCUAGAGCAGAUUCCCUAUUAGACUUACCUCGCCAACGAGCAAUUUGACUCAUUGAUAUCAGAACUCCACCCGGCAUUAAAAGGCAGAAUCACUACCCAGCAGUCCAAGCCUCAUUGAUCGUAUAGAGGAAAAAGCCCUACUAAUUAGCUCCCAAGCUAUUAUAUCAGAGAAUUACCUAUUGAAAUACUAUGUUAUAUUAUAUAAGAGAAUGCUUUAACAGGCAGUAGAGCACGUAUAGGGCCGACACCAACUAACAAGCGUAGCUAACGAGCAGAAGCCUACAGCGCAGAAGCAAUAAUGCAAGUAAGUAUCCAAAUCGGUAUUCAGAGAAUUCGUUCUGAUAAUCAACUCCCUACCGCUCCACUCUUUCGAUUCAUUAGCAAAAUAAGGUCAAAAGCAUAGAGUGUUUUAUCACUUUUGGAUUAGUGUUUCUGCUUUUUUGUAUCAAUUUCGUGGGCUCUUAGCACCUUGAUUUGAGGCUGUUUGUAUGGGUGAGAUAGCCUAUGUCCGGUGAGAUAGCCUAUGCCCAGGGUACUACCUUCUUUCUAUGAUGCCCGGGGACGGAGUUUAUGACCGUGAUGCGCGAACGAACGAACAAUUCACGAGGUAUACCCGAAUGUGCGAUGACCAAUAGAACCACACCAUCCACUGACUUACUUAUGUUUUACUUGAAGACUAUGUAGUGCUCCUUAAAGAAUGAGUCCCCGGCGAAGGAUCUAUAUGUUUUUGUGUCUCGCGUAGAGGCUCCGGUGUGUUUGCCCGGCUUCAGUCUUAUCCCCCUUGAUCAGUAUUCUUCUAGUUAAGUUCGUUGCUACCUAUGUGCUAUUGACAUUGCUACCUAUGUGCUAUAUUGUAUUGAUACUAACUAUGUUACUAUGUAUUGAUUACUCUGUAUUGAUACUAACUAUGUGUUUCAACAGCUAUUCCUCACUACUAACUAUGUGUUUCAACAGCUAUUCAUCACUUUCGGGCUUAAGCUCUUGUUCUAUUCUUUGACUCUUCGAUCUCAAGCUGACUCCGCUUGCUGUCAAGUAAAAUACUAUUCUAGACCCCCGAUACUAAAGAGCCUAUUUCUUAUGAUGGGUAGCUCAUUCCCCGAUGCGCCAGCUUAGACUUCCCUUACUUCCUUUUAUACUUACUUGCCCGGCUGUAACUCUUAAGACUCGCACAGAAGAAUCCGUAUAUAUCUAUGGGAUAUCAAACGAGAAACCUGAAAAGGGAAUUGUGAACCAUUGCUUACCAGGCUCUAACUAAGAAAUAGGAAAUCCACUGCUGCUAACAAGGCUGCUGCGCCUAACUAUUAUUCUAAUUAACCCGCCGAUAAGUCUGCCAACACUCCAAAACCCUCACUUGAAUCUUACUGUACAUCCUUGCUUCUUUGGGUGAAACUUAUACCGCUACUAAGAAUAGUUGAACUAGUGCACAAACACCACAGUGAGAAUCAAAACAAGUAAUAAGGGUUGUAGCUGUUAUUACUGCUUCUGUCGAAUCGGGACGGAACUAGUGACAACAAAACGGAUAUCUCACAUUGAACUUACUUACGGAAAAGAAUUACUACCUACACGAUAAGACUUGCUCCACCGUCUUUGAUUCUAGGACUACUGAUUCGGAUACUUGCUUCUAUACCGGAGUCUGCCCAGGGCCCUUACUACAAUGUCUUUGAUUAUUAUUGGUACUUUGACCUUCCACUAAUGCCAAGUUAGCCUGCUCCUACUGACACCGAACCUUGCUUUACUAUAACAUAGCCUCUAUCUCCUUGCUACCAGCCUACCUCUCUUUGCUUCCAAACUCCAACUAAUGUAACUAAGCCAUACUGACUUGCCUAUAAGCCUGACUUUCCUAGGGCACACCCUCUACUUGUAACUAAGAGCCUAGCUUUCCACAAGUAUCAUUCAGCGGCGGGGGUUAGAAAGAAAGUUCUGUUCGAGUGUUUGUUGCGGUAAGAGAAGAAGCGGGCCGGGCCCACAGGACGGUUGUAUGCUCUAGCUCCAGAAAGUAUUAACAGAUAGAAUAGAGUAAGAUGACUCCUCUCCGUAAGCAUAAGUAAAAGAAUACAGAAUUCAUUGAAUCAGCUCGCUAACAACUAGACGCAUGAACAAGUGGUAGAUUCCCAGAAGCCCUUUAUCGAGUGGAGUGAGAAGUUGAAGACUUAUAUGAUUCUCAACAAGCAGCAGGAACAAGCAACGGUGAGCUAACGAGAGACGGGAAAGGAGUUGUGGAAAAUAGGAUGGAAUAUACAAGGCGCUAAAGUGAUAUUUCCAUUGAUGAGUUGCGAGAGAAGAUCAGAUGAGUUGCGAGAGAAGAUCAAUUGGGUGGGUAGCCUCAAACUUGACUUCUGCAAACUUAGUUCUUUGUUGAAAGUUUCGUUCGAGCAAAGGUCUCUGUCUGUUAAGGAAGUUAGUUGCGCUAAGGAGUUUGCUAGAGUUCCAUAAGCUGUUUUGCACGCUAAUACAGACGGGAUCGGGUGCUCAUCUUAGUUCUUAAAGAGUAAAGGUUACUCAUUUCUAUUGUAGGUGCACUUAGAUAUGAUUUAGAGGAGAAGCAGUUAGGAGUAUUAGCUCUUUUUGUAGUUGCAAGAGAGAUCAAUUCAUUCUGUACUUGUUACUAACGGAAAGAUGGUUUCCAUUCCUGCGAGUGACGGUUACGCUAACGAGGGAGUUUACGCAACAAGUCCGGAUUCUCUUUCUGCAUAAUAAGGAUCAUAACAAGAAACAGGAGAAAGUCAGUCAGCAGUGCCAAAGUAAGAUGAAGCAGAAUCCGUUUCAUAAGCUUGAUCUAAAGAAUCCGCUGGAGCAGGAAAGUCUCUAGGUGUUGUCGACGAAGGCAGGAAGGAAAUCUAGGGGUGUAGUUCCGGAAGUCGCCAAUAGAGAAAGAAGUGCCUUAACAACUAACUAGCAUCCUCCUCUGGGCAUCUAUUAAGAGCGUAUUCGUAGCUAACAACCUAUUCCACUAUAUGCAACAUAUUAUGUAACAAUAACAGCGCUAAUAUAGUCAAAUGGGCAUCUUCGAUUUCCUGGUAUUCCUAGUAUUCCUAACAAAGGGGCUACACGGCCAGAAAUCAAUCCUUAAAACAACCCGAGGCAAUUUGGAUUGUGAAAGCGGAGUUUCGCCCUGAGCAAUGAAGAUAGGGAACUUGCCCAUUACAAUAGCAUGAAACCAAAAGCAUACGCUUUGUUCUGACGAAGACUAACCGGGAAGUAUGGUUUGCAAGGAGGUAUACUGGCAGAGCAGGAAGAUAGGCGUCGUGGGAAGCGGCUAUAACUUCUCCUCCUUCGUUGCAGGUAAGGCUAUUGAUAAGGCUAGUAGAAUACCUUAUUGAAGCGGAUAAAGCUCAAUGAAGAUUAGAAACUCAUGGUAGCUCAGGAGUCAGAAAAGGUAUUAACGAAGCGUGCUUUAGGAAGUGUUCGAAAGACGACCUAAACCACAAGAUGACGAUGAGAACAAGGUUGGAUCUCUACUUAUGGAAUAGAGGAUUACGAAACCAGUCCUUAAGCAAGUCCCAAGAACGAGGUGCCUAGCAAGAUAGCCCAGAAAGGCCUACAACCAGAGCCAAGUAGACGGAUCUCGUAGCAGGGACCAAUCAAACUAAGGGGAACCAAUCAGUCCCAGUCCAAGCAGAGCUCGGUGAUUAGACUAUGGGAUUGCUCCUUAUACGGUCUAGCGAGUUAGACUCGUGCUGAAGCAUAAAGAAUAAAGCGGAGUUCACUAGACCCCGGUCGUAGGCCGGACGUAGCCAUUCGCUCUAAUAGGAUCGUUUUUGCAGACGGCUUUCUCAAUCGUGCCCCGAAGCGGCAGUGAAGAGUGCAUCCUUUUCUUCAUACGUGGGUACGAUUCCGUACGCUAUCAGUCCAGUACCAUUAGCUCUCCAAGGGUAGCAAUCCAUUCUUUCCAUGGAAGGAAAGGAGGCAAAACAGUACGUAUGCGUGUUAGACUAUUCCCAUUCCCGUCUAUGGUAUUCCCAUGCCCUUCUAUGGUAUUGGUAUUAUUCUAUGGUAUUGGUAUUGAAGAAAUGAUAUUAUUCUAUAAAUACAGAAAUGAUAUUAUUCUAUAAAUACAGAAAUGAUCUUAUUCUAUACGAGGGCUUCUUCAGGGGUAAUCAAUCUUUUGACUUACUUAUAUAUGUAUAUAGAAUCUUUUGACUUACUUAUAUAUGUAUAUAUAAGUGUGCCAAAGGGUGAAACGGGUACAACUCCUCUAUGCAAAGGGUCAAACUCUUCUAUGUCUGGUUCUUUCCUUUUUCUGUCAAAAUAUAUCCCUUGUAGCUCUUAAUGCCAUUAAGAUUUCUGUACCUGUUGGAGAUUGCAGAUGUAAUGCUUGGGUGACGUCUUUCUCUAAAGUCAAAGGAGCGAUAAGACUGUUUCCUCUCUGGCGGCUAUAGGAGAAGGUGCUGAAAGCCUGUCUAAAGCAUGUAUCUGGUAGGUACUCAUUAAGUGAGGGAGAAGGUGCGUAGCCGCUGUUAUGUUAGGAAAAAGACGCUAGUGAACUCGUUUUUUUAAGAGGUAUUUGGAUUUUGGACAUUUCUUUCUUGAUGCGAAUCAUAGGACCCCGUACGUAAUAGAAUCAAAAGAUCUUGCUUGUGACCCUAAAGCGAAAGGUCAAAAGAGUGUGAGGGGCGAAAAUCCAUUCAAGUCAAUACAGUAACUGGUUUCAAAUAGGCCUUGAACUACAUAGGGUCUUGAUACUCGCUUUCUUGAAAAGAGGGAUUAGAGUGUUUUAGGCAUCAGCCGUUCAGAAGUCGCGGUUUGUUCGAUUGCAACGGGUCAAAGAACGAGUCAAAGAAUCAAUUUGUAGUGUAUACUGGCAAUAUCUCCCUUGUAACUUAAGGGGAGCCGCUCCAAGCCGAGAUAGCUAAUCAAGAAAUUGCCCACGCUCAUCAAAUUCUUCCAGGGACAGGGAUAUAGUUUUGACCUUCGGGGAAGAACUCUGUGGGACCCGACCCCUCCUUCUAGGGCGCCUAGAUAGUGAAAGGUUUGCAACGCAGGAAACGGCGCAAAGUCAACGAAGAGCUGGCUGACUACGCUGGAGCCCAGGAAAGAUGUCAACAUGGGAGUUGGUUAAUAAAGAUAGACCGUAAGCAGGUUUGGUCUCGGUUGUUCCGGUUCCAGUUAUAAGACUUGAGUUCCUCCUUUUCUCUUGUCAUUUGGAUUCCUUGGUUUUCUUACUCGUGCCAUACUUCCUAUUCCAAGUGGCUUGCUUUUGUAGCUAUAAGGCGGUGGGGAAUUGAGAUUUUCUGGUUUCGACCUCGAGACGGGAUAGAAGCUAUACCGAAUAGGUAAGCAGGGAAAGUAUGAGCCGCACUAAAUGAUAUGUUGGAGAAUGAAUGAGCUGACCACCUUAUGAGUAAGUCCGCUUCUAAUCGUGCAUGAAAAUAAGGCUAUCUGAUCCGUGAAUGAUGUCAAGUUAAACCCAUACUUUAAGAUGUCAAGUGAAACCUAUACUUUCAUUAAGUAAACUAACCAUAAAGCUGGCAAAUCCAAGUACCUAUGUUCUAAACAAUAGCUUGUGUAAUCUGACCGGAACAAGGCGGAUCCCCUGGGGCACUUUCAUUAUGGAACUUUUCGUUAGUACUCAAAAUGGUGAUCACAUUCAGAAAACCUUGUGACUUGCAAAACUUAUCCAUCCGAAGCUAAGGUUGUAUAAGCAAAAAGGAUUUCAUAAGCGAGAAGAUCAGACUCGGCGUAACGUCUUCGUAUUGAUUGAAACCAACAUGGCUAGCUCCAACGAGCACAAGGAAUUGAGCAAAGCAAAUAUAGUAGCAUUAUCACAAGUAUAUGUAUUUCGCUUGGAAAGAAUCCUCUAAGACCGGAACAACCUUUCUUGCUAAACGUCCUCAUUUGCCAUUGGAUCCAUUUGACCAACCCAACAAACCGUAUAAGAUUGGACUUUGCUUUGAAUAAAAAGAGAGGAAGCGAAGCUUAAGCAACUUGAACCUUAGGAGGCAACUGAUUCCAAAGUAGAUCCGGCUCCCUAGCAAGCUUUAGUCUUCCUUGAUACUUCGGAGGCGGGGAGAAUACUCAUUAUUUGUUUCUAUCCGUUUUUUGACUUUCCUCUAUAGCUUGGGGAGGAAGUCUGGUAAGGUGUAAAGUACAAAAGCAGAAAUAGAAUGGUUUCAUUGUUUAAGCCAAGCUAAGAAUCAGAAAUCUCACUUUGGACAUUGAGUUGGAACAUGACGAAGCAGAAAGGAGGAGUGUGAGACCUAGCGUAGGUAUUCGUAUGUUGUAAGGGUUCGCCUCUUGAGGAAGCCCCAGCUUAUUAAGAAAAGUGAGUAGGGAGAUGAAGCUAGGAUAAGUGAUCUGGAAGUCUUCCGUUCGGGUCUUCUCCAGUGGGUGGGAUAAGGGAAAUAGGCGCAAAGAGUCGUGCUUCUUAGCGAGGAAGCAAGUGAAUGGUCGUCUUUUGAAAGCUUGGAGCUAGACUUAUUCUUCCUGACUCGAUUCCAAGUUUCAUCACACUAAGCCAGAGCCAAACUAGAGUUGGUACGUGGAAGCAAUGUAACCAACGGAACUAGCUGUCUCGGAUCUUUGAAUAGACAGAGAGAGAUGAUCUUACUGCGGCCCAAGAGCGUAUUCGUUCAAAGAGCUAGCAAUUACUUUCUUCCCACCCGGAAAUCGUAGUAGGAGAAAGACAUUCAUAUAUUACCCAGGCACGGGAUAAAGGGAAAGAUGGAGCCGAGAGCCGGGAACACAAUCGAAAGACCCUCAACGGGGAUUCUCUUACUACCUAGACUACCUAAGCAAAUGAGACUUCAUUAACUACCUAAGCAAAUGAGACUUCAUUAGUUCAUUACUAUAGCUUGUUCUGUCGUUAUAUAAGUGAUUACUGAUAAGAACGAUGGUUAUUACUAUAUCUUGAUCUUGCCUUAUUAAUGUAUGAAUCAGAGUGAAUAGUGCAUAAUCCAGCGAAUCAACUGCCUUUCUAGGAAGAGUUAAUCCCGAAAGAAAGGGAAUUCAGUCCUCCUAGUUCAAUCCUUCUCUUGCCUUACUUCCAUAGUAAUCUCACUUCUAUAGUAAUCAGACUUCUAUAGUAAUGAAUUGCAUGGGAAAGGAAAGCCGGAUCUUGAAGCUAGGAUGCUUUUCUAACUAACGCUUCAAAAGAAGCCUACGGUGGGUAGUUUGGCCAGAGGCCCCCUUGCUUCUAACGUUCUGCACCUUCUAACAUAAAUCCCAGAUGUGGAAUUGUCUUAUAUCAGAUGUGGAAUUGUCUUAUAGCUUUUUAUUCGUUCAUUCCUGCGAAUCCAUCUCGUCUGGUACCUCGCGGGAAUUGUCCAGCCUGAACCCUCAUUCGAUAAGAGGACAUUCGAUAAGAAAGAGGAAGCCGCCCUAAACCAUCUCUCCAAGAGAACCUAGGAUCCUUAUUUGGACGCUGGGGCACGUGGAUAACCUCAAUCCUCAAGAAACCGCGAAUCAACGAGUACCGCUCAUAACGGUGAUAUUGUAGGUUCGAAGACCUACUAAGCCUACCACCCCUUUCUCUUCACCCGAUACAAGAAGGGCCCACCACCCCUUUCUCUUCACCCGAUACAAGAAGGCAGUCGAAGUCCCCUCCACUCUGCAUUUUUUGGGAAGACAUCGCGUUUCUCGUCGAUUUCCCUCAUUGCACUGUCCCAUUAAUGCUACGAAGUGAAGCAGGCAUAGCUAUAGGUUUGUCUCUAUGCCUGUGAUCUUUCAUCAACCACGGCUCGGUAUCGGUAGUCUCCGUCUUUCCCUGGUAUGAGUUGAGAGUUGCAGAGUGAGUCUUAUUCUACUCUAGGCUCACUCCACUCCCUGCGUUGUCUUAUUUCCUGAGGGACUAGAUUUUCUUUCAAUCCCUGACUCUGUCUUUUGGCUAACGCCUAUAGUUCUCUCCUCACUAACAGAAGUCUCUUAGUAAGUAGCAUCCGCUCUGAAGGGGGUAAAGCCUAAGUAUGGAGUAUUCUAGGGCACGGGCACACCUUACCUGCCUCCAACCCUCAAGAUCCGCGGACGACGCCUUCUUCCGAAAGUCCUCUCUCUUUGCUUUGACCCGAAUGCAAAAUAUCCGUAUCCGAGGGUCUUGCUUUGUACCAUAUAGAUAGGAGGGCCUAUCAAGCCGCUUAGUAGUCUAUUGUAAGCAAAGUAUGCCCUACAUGUCAACACAGGGUAGAAGUCAAAAGCAUCGAAGAUUAGUACUGAGUACAUGGAAGCACCAAUGAAUAAAGUCAAGAGUUCAGAUAGAACCUUCUCGACAGAAGAAAGAUUGUGGAAGAAUCAUAAAUAAGCAGCCUCUUUAUCUCACCGGUGACAUCGGCGAAAGAAAUAAGGCUACCGCGGGUAGAGAUCGACCCUGGGGCCUCCAUCAACACCACUGCGGGCCCUAGCCGCCUAUCUUUGAAUGAAUUCCUAGGAGCCUUCAUACCAAGGUAACCAUUCGGGGGUACAAUGCCGACUCGCAAAGAGCCAUCGGCAAGAUUCGUCUCAAGUGCCAAACAUGUGAUCUGAAGACGAAGGUCACUUCUUACGUGAUUGAUGUGACACCUCCUAAACUUCCUACUUGGAUCCAAUGGUACCUUACAAACCCUUCAUCAAUGCUUCAAAUACGUUGAUGAGAAGGGUAUUUGCCGACCCCCUUUCUUUCGAGUCUAGUGUCUGUACGGAUGCGCGUCUUUACAACGACCCUCAGACAGUGAUGGAUGACGAAAGCCCGCCAGCGAAAGCCGAAGCACAGGUUCUCCGAAUCCCAAACAGAAAGCUAAGGGAGUUACGGGAAACGCUAUCUCAAAGAGCAUUACCCUGUUCAAUCUCUAAAGAGUGGCUUUGGGAAUGACUUCCACUCUCGGUAAAGAUGCCACUUCCAGCAUUACUGGAACCUUAUAAGGCGGAGGACCCUAAUAGAGCGACAUUCGUCCUCUCAAUAUUGGGUUUGCUUCCUCAUCUUUCACAGGGUAGCCCAGAAGUCUUAUUCUAUAUGCUGGAAAGAAUCGGUCACGUAUGGAGAAAUCGAAAGUACAGUCCUUUUGCAAAGAAGCGAAGGACAUGGGCUAUGCCCUUGAGGUCGGGCUGAAGUUAAGAACGGUCGAGGCAGAAAAGUACCCCCACAGCCGCUAAGUAAAGAAGAAAGGGAAGUAGUAUAAAGCUGCUCAGCUCCCACAUUGCAUAGACUCGACUUACUAAGCUUGAAAGAGAACCGGUGUAGAGAGGAACCCGGUGCUUUUCCCCACUUCCGAUCCCUUGAGUGAAUCCAGACCAUAUAGUCAGUAAGUAUAUAGUAAGAAGUCAGUAAGUAUAUAGUAAGUAAGUCAGUAUAGGGUCAAUAAAUCCCAUCCUCAUUGUGUCGGCUCUAAGGAUUUAUGUAGGGACAUCAGAAGUAAAGGCCUCUCCCCCACUGAAAGAACUAGUAAAGCGAUCAGUCUCUCUUCCUAUUUCCCCAUUACCGAUGUUUCAUUUAUAAGAAAAUGCUUGAUCUGGCAAUGGUUGAGGCUUGAGCUUACUUUCACAUUUUCCAUUAUUUCAUUCAAAGCGCUUGAGUACUUGUUUAAAAGCAAGUAAGGAAAGAUCCGAUCAUUAGGUAAAGAAUAUGAAAACAAGGAUUAGUAGACUAAGCAAGGUUAACUACAGACUUUAUGGCAGUAGCGAUAGGCUGAGGGAAGAAAAGAGAGUUAGAGUGGAGGUAAGGCGAUAUAGACUAAAAGCAAGUCAAGCGAGGAUCCGGUUCUUAGGAGUAUAAGAGUAUGGUUUGGGAGUAAGGCUGGCCUACUUUCAAGUUCAUUCUUACAGGCACAGGGUGAAUUCUAAUGCUGACUUGUGCAAUUCUGGUGGAGUAGGUAGUCGUUUUGUUCUCAUGGAGUAGCCCGGGUUCCGCAACUCGCAAACAAGAUUAGGUGCACAGGGGAGGCAGGCUCAAACAAACAAGUAAGAAGGAGCUAAAUCAGUAGAUACAGAGAGCGAGGGGGGAAGAACGAAGCUGACAAGUAAGGCUUGGGUAGCGAUGUAGGUCGGAGAGAAAUAAUAAGUAAGAUAAGGAUAACACUUAGGAGCAAGACAAGAAUCCAGUGCGGGGGUUGGUUUCAAAUAAGAAAGUAGAAGAGCUGGUGCCGAUAUUCAAGAAAGUAGAAGAGCUGGUGCCGAUAUUAUAAUGAAGUAUGAAUAGGGUUUAGUGUAGCUAGAUUCCAUUCCAUAAGUGAGGGGCGCUGAAGAACCAAUAUUUCCUAUAAGUUGACGGCUGUAACCCAUAUUUCUAUAAGUAAACACCCUCUGUGAAACUCUGAAAAUACUUAUUUGACUAACUAAUAUACUGAUCGAGUUUGCUUUGCUUUUCGCUCCGUUAGCGCAACUCACUACGUUACUUGUUGUGUCAGCUGUUUGUUUACUUGAUUUUAGUCAGCAGGGAAGUGACUAUAUUCUAUUAGUUGCAUGCUAGAUUCCAUUCUCCAAGUAGUUGUCAAAUGUCGCAAUAUCUGUUUGCUAGCAAUGCUAUUAGUUGACUAUUAUCCAUAUGUGUAACACUUCCCAUUCAAUAAGUAUCAGAAUAGAUAGCAAGGGCCAUAAGGCUUUCACACCUGAUUGAGUCGAGUCUACUAACCUAUGUUCAACUCGUAUUCUGGCUAAGGUUAAAGAACUUGAACUCUAUGACAAGGAGUGGCGAGCAGGACAAUCUGUUGGCGUACACUCCAUUAUGACUUUCAAUUCAUCAUCUAUCUCUUAUACUCUUAUUACUGGAUUCCAUACAAGACACCCUUCUUAUUUGCUUCUACUCAUAGCAACGGCCUUUACCCUCUGGAAACUUCACCUUGUAGUGGCGCAUUCGGCUUGGCUUACUCAUACGAUAAAACAAGAACGGAAUUAGUAACGAAGGAUAGGAGAUAGUUAUGGAAUUGCAAAGUGAGCGUCUUCAAUACGAGUUCCAGUUCGCUAUGUAGGCUACGUUGAAAUAUGUGAUUAGUAACAAUCAGAAACAGUUUCCAGAGCUGGGGAUCUAAUGAAGUAUCUUGAGUUGGAACAGAAGAUCGGAUUGCCCCCAAAACGCUUCAUCUUUCUUUCGGUCAACAAAUACAGAUCCGUCUUGCGCAGGCAGAGUAGAAAAUCCAUAUUACUGAUGUGCCAUAUAAGAGAGGAAAAGAACAGAGCACUGCAAACUCCACUUAGUCUUGUUUAGCGUCUAAGCUUUUGACUAACUGAUCUGAUGCGCGGAAUUUCCAUAUUACUUAUUUAUGUUCUAUACCAGAGGAAUUGAAACCCCUGUAAACUCCCGUUAACACAACAAAGAAUGUCAGAACAGAGGAAUCUCUCGGCUUCUUUCUAUAAACAACGAGAAAAGUCGAACUGGGCUAACAGCUUCUUUUCAAGCAACUGGAUACUCCUCCUUACCUAUAUCCUUUCCCUAAACUAAUACUUGGUUCCUUCCUUCUAAACUAAUACUUGGUUUGUAUUCUUUUCUCUCUUAUCCUACUCUGGAUAUAGCGAAAGCAUCGGAUAUGGUUCCCACUCUUUCCCCCGAUACGUAUAAAGCAUCAGAUCUUGUUCCUGCUCUAUCUUCUGCUCUAGACUGUUUUUCUCUAUCUCUGGUAUCGCCAACAAAAAGAGAGACCCUAGUAUGCCCUUUUGCAUCGCGGGUAAACUACUCCAAUGGAAAAUAGAUCAUUGAAUACCACUUACAGCUGUUCAAGUGCAUUGACGCCGAAUCACUUCCACCCUUGCCUUGACUUGUGAAUCCAUCCGCCGUAUUCAGUCUUUAACCGAUACGAGUUCUAUAAGAGAAGCCCUUGCUUUGGGUGCUCAAGUCAUCCGUGUUGUCGACUCUUGAAUCAGAACAGUUGAUUUGCGCUUUAACCACUACGUGGGCAGUAUGGAUGAGCAUUCCAUUCUCUAUUUCUAUAGGAUCAAAGUAGGCUACAAUGCAUUCAAAUAAUUCCGAAACAAGAACUUCGACAACACAAGAACGGAAAUAGACUCAUAUUCAGUAGACUACGUAAACCCCUCUGGAUUUAUGGUCUUUCACUCUUUCACUUGCGCCAACAAACACAUUAACUUCAUUUGAAUUCUUCUAUUGAUAAAGCUUCUUUUGAAAAGUAAGGAAAGGAAGCAGCAAGUGAUGAAGCGGGAAGCUGGAUUCGCUGAAUUUUCCAUUAGGUCUGUAUUGAUUGCUCUAGCCUCGGGAACACAUCAAACAAGAAAGAAGGAUUCCCCUAAGCGUCGGUUAAGGCCUGGCACUGCCUGCUGUAGUUUGACUCUUAUACUUACGGGCUCAAGUGUUAACCAAUAGGAGUCGUUUUAGUUUCAACGUUUACAAGCACUCUAUCUAGCCGGCAUCCAAUAGAGAGAAAUGCAAUUACCACCUCACUUUUAAGCCUGAUAGCGGACAGUGUUCAAAUAUCCAAGCACUACCCAAGGUUGCCCAGCUACUCCCAUUUCCAUAUCCCUCAGUCCCCAGUCCCUCUUAACCUUUCCGUAGGAGAAUUCGACCCGUACACCACGGUGUGUGUGGUGAGUAAGCCCAAUCAAUUCCUCUGUUUUUCGUUAACUUUGAAUUCAUUAGCUUUUUUCCCAUAGUGAAUUCCAACUUAAACAUCCUUUGAUCCCAGCUAAUCAAAAGACGGCCCCUAGAGAGUUACUAGAAUUCUCAAGGGAAUCCAAACCGGGAAAAAGCCUGUUCCUAAUGCCGAGUUAUCAGCACGGACUCUCGUCUCCAAUAGGCCCAGAAAACCAAUGCUGUGCUUCGACCCAGUUCCCUUCACUGAGUCUUUUUCUCUUAUAGUUAUUCCUUUAUACGUAUGAAAUUUCACCAUACCAUGUUAUUGGAAUUUCUUUUAAGCGAAGAACUCUUACCAAAACUUGACUGUCGCGCUUUGAGUCAUCCAAAUCCCCAGCAUGAAUCUUGAACUCUAGUUAUCUCAGCUACGGUAGAACAAUAAUUAUGGAAGUAAGCAAGCAGUAAUGGAGUCCUAUAGAAUCUAGUCCCUUCUCUUUCAGGAAUAGGGGCGGUUUCAUCUUCCUCCGCAAAAAGAAAGGAAAAGAAAGAAUGAGAGACUUUAUAGCAAUGGGUUCCUCCUAAGCGAAGAAGGCUGUAAGCAAGGUAGGAAAGAGACUUCUUAGAGAAAUCCUAACUGUUAGAAAUAGCAAGAGUCAUCCCUCUCUGAAACCUCAUGUUUUAGGAAAGUAUUUAUUGAUUUAUUGAUUUUGAGCUUAGUUACUAUUUGGCUUCGUAGCCGUCCAUUUCAAUCUACCAACUGACUUUAGAAAACCCCUUAUUUCCUCAAAGAACCUAAGCAGGUAAUAGAUAGGAAAGAAGGAUUCUAUUAUCGUCGACGGACACAUAAAGUUGGCCUCCUUGCGGCUUUCAAAGCUACACUGACUUCCUUCUCGAAAAGCUGGAUUGGAUGCAGUGUUAAGCGCUUUCCCAUCUUUCCAUUCUUUUAUGAAAAACCUUAUGUAUGAAAAAGCAGAAUUCCUCCCAACACUCUUGGAACAUUCCCGUCUUGCUUGACUCGAGUUCUAGUUUUCUUAUAUGCUCCUAAUUCGAACACUUUCUGAACUUCCGCUCGCUUCCGACUUGCUUGCUACUAUCGUCUUAUAAGACAGACGUGUUUUGUUGACAUUGGUAGCUAUGCUUAGGUAGCUAUGCUUAGCGUCGACAUAUAUAUAUAUUCUAUAUUCUAACUUCAUCUCAUUGAUUUUGGAAAGAAACGUGAAACCACGGGAAAACAAGCAAAGGAAACAACACAAACGGCAAACUCAUUCCAUAUAUAAGGAAAAAAGUCCCAAUAUCCCAUAAUCCAAGGACAGUGACAUUUCUUUCUUGCCUUCUUUCGUCACAUGUCUCUCUGGUACUAAUCAUUCUUUCCUUUCUGUCUGGUACUUACUAAUCAUUCUUUCCAUUCCGCGCCAUUCCGCGGGAAAAUAGCGAAUGUUCGGAUUGCUUUCUUAGUGUGGCAUCCGCUGUCCACUGGUGAUAUUUCAUAUAUAAUAGAAUCCAGAGCUUAUAAGAAAAUCCAAUCGAGUCGCUUGCGGGCAUUGGCAAAUCCAAUCGAGUCGCUUGCGGGCAUUGAUCCUUGCUGGUCCUUCUUUGGCUACGUGAGAAUGGGAAGGAGUCAAUCAUCGAGUGACUGGCUAACUCUCCUCUUACGUGUUUUAGUUUCCUUGUUUUUCGAGAAAAGGUCCUAUUCUUCAAUUCAUGAUUGUGUCGACCAGGCCAGAUCAUGAGAGAUACGCAGCGCAGAUAUAAACACCAUGAACCUUUUUUCUUCUACUCUUCUUUUUCUUUGGAGUGUGAUUUUCUACGUGGGAUUGUAGUUUCUUGUUUGCUUAGAUUUAGAGCUCCGGCUGAUGAAAUUCGAAUCUCUUAUUCUUGGUCUUGGAAUAGGACUCAAUUUUGGAUUACAAAGGGUCGGGUGGGAAGUAGGUCUGUCUCUUUUUGUCGCUCGUUUUAGUUUGCUCUGCUUAAUCCAGAAGGCGCACCCACUCUAGGUAACAUGAUGUUUCUUUACUGUGAUUUGACUUCGAGCCCGCCCCGCCUCAUCACCCGUACCAUGCCAUUAUACCUAUCGUCGUAGAAUCAGUGUUCCUAGGAAAGAUUCUGGUUCUCGGGUAUCCAAUUAAUUCAUCCCUCCAGGUAGGUUGACUAUGGUCAGUGCAGUUUCACUAAUCUUUUCAUUAGAUAAGGAACAGUUGCCACCAAGAAUGUGUCCUCUGGCGUUGGGGACCCCAUCCUCGGCUUGGGCAGGGGAGUCAAUAGAAACCUCCGUGAGUUUUUCAUCUUUCUUGGGUUAUAUGAUUUUGGUUCCCAUAGAGAACGCCACCUCGUUUGAACAACGCUUACGCAGGAGCACAGAGGUCGUUCUUUCCAACUUUGACGUACUAAAUGGGAUGCUCCGCUUUUUGGAUGGGGCUACCAGCGAAGUCGAUGCAACUGGUAUAAGAAGGAAGACAGUGUGGGCUGCGAAACUCAAUGAGUUCCUCGUUGCGCGGCAGGGCAGCUAGUUCGCCAUUCCACGAGUUCCGCUCGGUAAACCCUCAAAUCCAAGCAGGGUGGACUCGCUCCUAUUGUCUUAGUGAUUGUGUACCAUACUGUAAAUCCCACAAACAAAUAGAGACUUUCAUGGCAUCUGUGCGCAUCAAGGAAGUAAUCAAUUCUCUCGUAUUCAUAUAACUGGGACCCUUCCAAUGAUAGAAUCCCUCGUUUAUGCACGGUUACGUAAUGUAACGGCUAUCGUCUACUAUACUUUGUGCUAUUCUAUCAACGUUAGUAGUCUCAAAAAGAAACAAACCAUCCCUAUAUUUAUUUGUGACAAUUGUACCCGCUAUUAUAAGAACUAAGCAUGGUAUACGAUUUCGAAUAAGACUCGUGUAAGAUAUGCACCCAGACUCCGUAGGCUUGCUCCGAAGCUUGUUUCGGCUCUCCCCGCUAUCUCGUUUAGAAAUACCCUUACUCUCUAGAAUGAUCACCUAUAAUAUCGUCAAGGAGAUUCUCCGCCGGGUUAGCCCUUAAUUGAGCCCCCCACACCAACCAGUGAGUGCGAAAAUGCUCCAGGAGCGGCAAUACCCCAGAGGCUGACCUAGGGUUUUAUAAACAAGCCCGUCGCUGCUUAGCGUGAUGCUCUCAGAGCUCAUAAACGCGUGCAGGCCUCCUCGAUCCUGAUACAUCCACUAGGCUUAUGCGGCCGAGUUCCUAAUCCGCGUAUACUGAGCAAAUUGCCCAAAUCUCAUUCGAUGAUCGUGACCUUUUGUUAAAUACGAAAAAACACAACGUUGCACUAAGAUAUGCAGAAAACAUAUAUCAACUGCAUUCUGGUCGAUCCUGGUAAGCACUCUCACAAAAGUAGGGCACACUGUACAACUUCAAAUGUUCUGAUUCAAGGGUUCCAUCAAAACAGUCCGGCGUCGUCGAAGCUCUAAAGUACUCGCAGUGACGGUAGCUUCCUCUGAUGGCCUAGUCCCAUUUUUCUUCCCCCUGGACAGUUAGUUUGAAUCACUUUUCGGUCCUGUGUGUUUAGGUUCUGGAAGCUUCUUUCCUCCCUCAUUUGAUUCAGGGCAGGGGUUUCUUUUUCUUUUGGGAAGAAUAGGGGGUUUCCUCAUCAUAAUCAGAGUCUGGGACUGCAUCAAUUCUCCCACAUAACUCAAUGAGAAUCGGACGGUCAUCAUCAUUACGAGGGACGCCAUCCUUCUGACAUAAACUCGUCUAGCAUUACGGGUGUGCUUCUUAACGUACUCAUCCCUUAGCUCUUUUAUGAGCUCUUCGAGAGUAAUGAAAGGCAUAGGCUGUUGAGAAACCCUUAUACUUGGGAGCUUUCUUUUGUUUUAGUAUAAGUAUUGGGAAGAGGCACCAACUUAAUGGUCCAUUUAGACACCUGGGAAGGAUGUAUCUUCUUCUUUUCGCUCGCCUUGCGCUUGGUACACACGGUCCACCCUUCUUCAUUGUCUUCCUCAUCGGAAUAAGAGAGUCAGAUUCAUAGAGAUCAAAGAGCGAAGGGAGUGGAUACUUUGGAUCUUCCUCCAGAGUCACUGUUUCUGUCAUCGGGAUUCAAGCAGAUUUGAGGCGUGAGCACAUGUACGACAGAAGAAGGCGCAGGAGUAGUUCAAUCCGUUUCAGGAUUCAUUUAUCUCCCAUCGAAGCGGACUUCUAAAAUCAAUAAUAAGUCAAUAAUAAGAUACGAUUAUUGAGAAAUCUCUAUGAGUAGAGGAGUGGAACCUCUUGUCUCUACGAUAUAGAGUGAAUUAAGGAGGGGACUCAUUCUGGGGCAUAGAGUCACCGGGGUAGGGAUAGGACUCGACUACAGCUUGGUCCCUUAUUCGAUCCGGCCAAUGAAAUAAACGAAUUGUUGUUCAUCGAACAAGCACCAUUGGUCGAGCACUUGGACAGAGGGGCCUCCCAACUGCAGGCUCUGGUGGGAGAACGGUAUACAUUGCCUGCUGCCCCAUCCCAAUAAGACGUGUAUAUAAACAACCCGUGCACGCGUGGGCUCUCCUUUUAGGUAGCUUCCCGGAUCCACAAAAGUCACCAAGUUUUCGUUGGUCGUAUGAUUGAUGAUUGCUCGCUUUCCUACCUUCACGGCUAGUUUCCGAAGGAACCUGUGUGUCUUUACCAACUCGCCCGGUGAGCGCUCACGACUAAGCUCUACUCGGAUGCUGUCUCGAAAGGUGCAGGAGGUGAUGAACACAGGAAAGACUUCUACUGGUGCUACUGAUGCUAGGGCCAAGCAACUACUAGUGUUUUCUGAAUUGCUCCAUCUCAAUACAAAAGGUACUUCUUUUACAUGGACUAAUGGAAAGGGGUACUCAUGGUCAUGUGGAACAGCGUCUAGAUCGGGUGCUUUGUUCUGAGCAAUGUGUUGGAUGUUUGGAAUUCUUUCUACAGUCCCUCGGCAUCACUCGGACCACACUCCUCUUUUAGUUUCAGCAGUUAUACAAAGAAACAAACUUAGAGGUCUUUAUCAACCUUGAACAUUUCCAUUCAAUGUGGCUUUCUCAUGCAUACUUCAUGAACACGGUUCUUCAUUCUUUUGACUCUAACUCCUUUUUCGGUUCCAAAAUGUUGAUUCUUGCUAGUAUACUUCAAUCUAUGAAACAUAUGCUUCAAUCUAUAAGCGUCGGAUCGGUUUCACGUCUAUUGAUAUUAGCAAUUUCGCAUUGGAUUUCUUGGAAUCCCAUAUCUAUUGGUCAUCUAGAUAGGUUAUUAAGCUAGUACCUUAUUUGGAAUCUCCGGACAGUAUGGAAAUGAAAACCACUAUGUCAGUCAAUAGCCUAGUUCUAUUCUUCCAAGGCCUGCUUUAGUGAAUGAUACAGUAUAGUCUCCCACUUACUCCUAAUUGCUCAUUCCUAUUCUGUAACUCUCCAAAAAGAAAGAGGUUAUUGCCCAUCUUCCAUCAACUCUGUGAAAUUGGCUUGACGAGAGAGAUGUCUCACUAAUAUAUUGAGAAUUGUUAUUGCGGUAACUUGGUAUCGUCAUAGCUACAUCCAGGGAAAUGACUUGGUAUCGUCAUAGCUACAUCCAGGGAAAUUCGGCGGCGAGAACCCUAGAAUCUUCCACGUCACUCGGCGGCAUUUAUAACUAAAUCCAAUUCGGCCUCCUUGUCCUACUUAACCUGUAUUCCGACUUCUGCUUGAGUGAGCCUCUCGGGGAUGAAUUAGUAAGCUUGCCCUGGUGGGCUUGUACUUUUCUCAAGAAAGAAUCAAUUUCUAGGGUGGCCUAUUCAAUCCUCUGUUCUCUGGCACUAGUAGUUUCUUAUGCAGAGCAUUCCUCGCCUCUUAUGCCUGUCCAGUACAAAGCCCAAAUAACACUGUUUUCUUGAGCGUUAGACGACAAGAGUUCCAAUAUCUUUCUUCUAUACUUCAUUUCAUUCCCCAACUCACUCGCCGGCCAUCCGGGCGGAAGCCUUACUCUCAUAAGUGAAGUCCCCAGCGUCCCCUCUCUUUCAAGCGUGAAUAGACGCGGAUCUGUCUCUGAUAUCCUGUGAAUAGCCAAAUAAAAGCUUAGACAAAAGGUUAGCAUGACAAUAAGCUGAGACCUACCAUGAACAACUAUAGUGGGAAGGCAGCUUAUGAACGAGACAAAAGGAGGAGACCGAAGAUAAGUUAGGGAAAGGAAUAGGGAGUUGUAAUUUGGAAGAGGUGCGUAACUCUAGUUGGAGCAGCUUGAAUUUCUGGAUAACAAACAGGGUCUAUGAUGAUUUUGGUAAGGUGGGAUAACGUUCCUAUGAUGAUUUUGGUAAGAUCUAUCUUUCAAAGAGUUAGCAGUCGAAAAGGGAGGAAGAACUUUAUCAACCAAUGGUUUCUUACAUUACUCCUCUAUUUAUCUGAUAUGAUAGAAACCUCUCAUACUUUCCAAAGUUCUAUUGUUUGUUCCGGGUUAAGCACUUGGAUUCCGCUUAACAGAUCCCAUACUUUGAUCGGUAACUCCUCGACAGAAUCACCCGGGGAAGACUUAUGUAAUGCGCCUUAAACCAUCUUCUAUAAGCGUAUCUAGUACCUCCCUAAUUACCAAUCCUGAGCUAGUAAGUCAAAGUAAUCCAAUCCCCAUUUCUAGUGGAAUAGAGGUUCGAGGACCCGAACUAACUUAAGAGGAAAGCUGCUUUCCAAGUGCUAGGCGGCUUAGGCAGUGUAUCGGAUCUUCGGGCAACCAACCAGUUUAUAUGUAUGCCCAAACGAGGAAAUCGAUCUUAGCAUAGUGGCUCUUUUGAUUUACACUUGAAGAUUCUAUUCCACAACUAGCUAAACCUACGGGCAGAAGAAAUAUAUCUUACUCGCUUUGAAGCGGGAACGAAAGAAAGAAUCCAAUCCAAACUCAUCAAAUAGAGAAAGGGCGAAUCACUUACAAAAAAGAACAACGAUAGAAGGAAGCGAAGAAAAGAAAAGAAAAUCAGAGAGAGUCCAGUCCAACCACUCCUAUUACUUGCAAUCGUUUUUGGGGUUUGAGGCUUGAUUCUGGUAGUAGCCCGACCCUUGCUAUUAGUCUAAAGCGCUCAGAGGAGGAUCCCGGCCUACCAUGGUAUGUGUUGAUCCCUUGGGGCAGUUAGCAUCUCCUAGUUAGAGCCAGUCGAACCCACUAGCGAUCAAAUACAAACCAAGAGAUAGAUGAAUUGGGGAAACCUCUCAGACUCCCUAGACUGUUACGGAAUUGAAACGAUCAUGAAAGCCUGAGCCCACAGGACCAAUAGCUAUAGGGAACCCAUAAGGUGCCUUUUCCUUUUAGCUUGGACUCACCCCUGCCACGUUAUGCACUUUCGCUUUUCUCGUUUACUAUAAAGCAUCCUCAGAGAAGGAGGGAUCUGUUAAGGCCGGUUGUCCAAUCAACGGCAGCUAAGAACACUUAUUCGAGCGAGACCCAUAGGUUUGAGUUAUAACCUAGAAGUCAAUCAUUUGCUUCAUUAGUUCCAAUAGUCAGUAGGUAGCAAAAACGAGUAACGGCUUGCAGAACAGAACUCCGUAAGCGCAACCAAUUACUGUAGUGACUUGUCGACUUGUUUAUUCGUUGCUUGUUCCCCUGCUUGCUUGUUCCAUUACUUGUUAGCUUACUUCUACUUUGCUUGUGCCUUAGUGAGAAAGCCCUAUAGCGUAAGUGAGUUUAUGGCAUUUGGGAGUUAUGAAUCUAAUGUCAAUUCUUUGUUUACCGAACACAGGCUAUGAAGAUAGGUAGCAGAACACUAAGCCUACAGCUAUUUGUCAAGUAUCUCGUUGCCAUUCACAUUCCAUAAGUCAGUUUCGCAGUAAGAGUUAAGCAAGAGCAAACAAGCAGUGGCGUAGCAGAAUAGUUUCUGAUCGUAUUUGAGUUUCGCAGUUAGAGUGAUGCAAGCAAACAAGCAGUGAGGUAGUAGCACAAUAGUCGUUUCUGAGCGUCGUGUUGGGAAUCAAAUCAUCAAGUACUGGCUCCGCUCUACCUAUUACAGCUGAUGCUGAUGCUAACUCGGGAAAUUCCGCAACUAAAGACAUCUCUAAACAAGCAGCAGGAACAAGUUGGAGAGUUUACCCCGAGGCGAGAGAUGGAAAGAAAGUCAGAGUUGAAGCUUACUCCAUUCUAUACCCGGUGCUCUAUAAUAAAUGCAAGCUUAAUGUGCUCUAUAAUAAAUGCAAGCUUAAUAUUAGUGCUUUGAAGCGGGAACAAGAUCUGAAUAAGUUAUGGUUUUGUCUCCGAUAUCAGAGGUUAUUGAUGGAGCAGAAACUGGUACAGCGGGAGAAUAAGCUAGAUAAGAAGCUAUAUCAAGUCAGUAAGCAGGUUUUGUUUCAUCCCAGUCGACUUUGAUCCUACCUAUAGAAAAAGAGAAUAUGGAAUGCUCAUCUGCUGAAGCGUUAGCGAGCCUACCCUUUAGCAAGUCCUGUCUUCGGGAGGCUGCUAGACCUCACGUCAGCUAAUUAGGGGUGCUGGAGCUUUGACUUCUCCUUAGGCGCCGGGCAACGGGCACAGGAAAUAGACUCACGAUAUAAGAACGAACUCCAGCCUAACCUCAAUCUACAGUAAAGGCAGGAGUGUUUUUAUUAUGAAGAAGGUGACUUAAACGCAAUAACAGUGCCGAUAUUAGCUAUAGUUAAGAGAAGUGACUUUUAUAAGAUGUGCAUUUCUUCUUAAAAACAUAGACCGUAGCUGGAAAAGGAGAAGAUAGCUAGAAUAUUAGACAAGUGCUCCACCUGACUGCUGACUGCACACUGAACGAACAUCAUAUUUGAUAGCGCUCCCAAUCCAUAUAGAAACAUAGUCAAAAGCACUGAUUACUGCUUACUUUACUCACUCUAACUCGAAUAAUCGUUAUAAAUAUGACAGUUCUCAAUAUUACAGUUAAUAUACGAGCUUCUUUCUACUUUACAAAAAAGUAUCAUUCUUCCAAGCAAGACCGGCAUUGCAUCCUUUACUUUGACUUUAGCAUUAGGAGUGUAGUAGGCCAACACGGAUUCAUUCUCAUCCACUCGAUUCAACGCCAUAGGAAGUGGCGCAAAGGUCAUCUCCCCUAUGGAUCUCGACUCUCUUUUCUCCUUUGAAGUCAGAAGCCUCAUCUCAGUUCUCAUGCUAAGGGGCGUUGCUACUUAAUAUCUAAUAUCUAUAAGCUCUGCAUUGCUACUUAAUAUCUAAUAUCUAUAAGCUCUGCAGUCAUUGGUAAUAUCUAUAAGCUCUGCAGUCAUUGGAGAUAGAAGCGUCGGGCCCACUACAUUAUCAAAUAGAGUCUAAAGGAGGAGUAGCGUCGUUGCUGUCUAUACGAUCUCACUCAAAGUGUCUUCACCUAACCUUUUUGAUAGGCCUACUAGGUUGAACAACCAGACGAGAUACUCUACUUUCUCCGCGCAUAAAGUCUUUCUACAACACUCGAUACUUGCUUUCGAACAGAAGGAAUGGAACUGAGCUCUGAUCCGAACGAGCAACUGAAUCAUAAGUAUCAAUCUUGAUCGUAUAAAAGCAUCAGCUGGAAUGGAUUGAAGUGCGCUAAUGGAUAGAGUAGCAUUUCCUCAAUUUCUUGUUGAGCACAUGGGGCGUUUGUCAGAUUCAUUACUUAUAUACUCUCUCGAAACAAUCAAUUCAAGGCAAGCAAAUCGACUUGGUCUAACUACGUUGCUUGGACUCCGCAACUACUAUUAAGCAUUAUCCUCUAAGAAGAUCAGAAUUGGAAUGAAAGCGCUAAGAAUGGGAAUGAAAGCCAGGGCCCAACAACAAGACUAAGUAGAGAGAUAGGUUCGGUGCUAGAAGACUAAGUAGAGAGAUAGGUUCGGUGCUAGUUGAAUUCCUUGUUUUAUCUCUCGGUGAUUGGUUUGACCUUGCUUGUCGUGGAGAAUAGAAUGUUAUCAAGUAAUCCCUGUAAGCAGUUUCCAGAGGAUAAGCAGUGGAAAGUGGAGUUUCAGUUUCAAAAGAAUCAUUAGCGAGGUAUUCUAGAAGCCGGUAACUAACACACACAGUGCUCUUUAUCGAAAUACAUAAUGGAACUAACGCACACUUCAUUCAAUAGAGUUCGCGUCAGCAAGGGAAGUUUAGGUCGAAAAAGGGAUGCUAUGUAUUGACUUCAUUCUAUAUCCUAUAUCAGGUGCAAGAUCAUCAAUAAAUGUUUGACUCGGAUCAAGCAAAUCAACUUAUCGGGGUGCUUACGGAGCUCGGGGAUGUAAACCCAUCUUUGAUACUCAAUCAAGCUGUCAAUAAGGCAGGCAAUUGUCUUAGUUUAAGCCAUGUGAUACUAUGCCCCCUAAAACAUCAUUGGCAGUAAAGACCUGGAACUCGUAUUUUCCAGAAAGGAAAGGAGAGCACUUGGAAUGAAGGAUGAAGAUAAUAAGUUAAGUACUUAUAAAGAUGGGACAGGUAAUACUACUUACCAUACAAAACCCCGGGAUUUCAAAUAGCAAAGCAGACUUCCUAUGGCUCUUGGAACUCUUUCUACUAUACCUCUGUCCACUUUCAUCCGGCUCCUAUAUAUAUGGCAAUUUGCACUCUUUCUCCUCUUCUCUUGCUUCUAUAACUCUGGCUACAACUACUUAUUCUACUGGACCACUACACCACUGACUAUUACUUGUUCUUUCGAUAUACCCCUUUUCCCUUGCUAGUUUACAUAGAAGAAAGAAUUGAGAUCUCUUAUCUGACCCACCAAGCAACUAAGAAAAUGGCAAGUAAAGUGGUAGCAAGCAACGGAGCAAGUCCUGUUUUUUAGUGCUGUGUUCGUCACCUGUGUUGGUGUUCUUGGCUUAGAGAGAGACAACCACUCCUUUGACUUGUUCAAUUAGUCUUCAUGGCGGCAAGGAGCCUUGUUUGUUGUUGCCGAACAAAGGGCGAUGCUAAAUAUGCCUUAUUGUCUUGACUUGGAUUAUUUCCCUCUGAAGCGCACUUCAUCUUCAUAUGAAUAUCCUCCUAUCCUUCUGUUCCACUGAAUUAAAGACAUUACUGGCUUUAAGCGAGGUAAGCGAGGUGUGGUCCAAGUCCGCUUUAUGUGGUAGGGUGCCGCUUAUGCUUGCUGUAGCUCAAAGUAAUGACCUGAAUAGCCUAAUUGUCCUUUUGUUCGUUCGCCUAGUUCGGGUGUUGCUCGUGUAUAAGUCAAUGGAUAUUCCAGGUUUCCCGUUAUAUAAGUUUGGGCAAGACGUCUAUGAUAGAUAAGUGCUUCUUCAGCACUAAGAGAAAUUACAGGAGUUUCAAUUACUAUUGGAUAUGGCACAUCAGUGUCAGUGAAAUUCAAAGAUAAAUAAAAGCGCUCUCAAGAUUCAAUUACUUCUUCAGCGUUAAGUAAUACCAGUGGAAGUUUGGGCAAGUUAUGUAUUCUCGGCCUUUGAUGCGAGGUGUACCAAAAGAAAGUAUCUAAUAUAAGCUUCUAAAAGAAAGACAGAAAUCAAGAAAGUAACGUUAAAGUCAGAUCUUGAAACCGCUUCCUCAAUAGAAAUAUCUGAAUUUGUAGUUGACUCUAAGCUGAAGGGAAGAGAUAGAUCCAAUUCAGAACUUGAAGUAUGGGUUGGGUCGGGAAGCUAAGGUAUUCCACAAGAACAGAAAGAUACUUGUAACCGGCAAGCAACAGUACUAGAUGCGGGCAAUCAGAUAGUCUAGUGGCAACUGUAGGAGUUAAUAUGUGAAGCAACAGGAGGAGUUGAUCCUGUAUAGAUCUAUUAGUAAACUAACCUACCCCAGUAUGGUAAACAAACCUACCCCUAUUGAUUGUCGGACAACAAAAAGAUUCUUCUCUUCAUGGGUGUGAUCAACUGGUCUAGUAGGUCCGGGCAUCGACUGGUCUCGGGGCCAGGUGCUUUGUCUCGCAUUCAUAGCAGUACCAUCCCAUAUGUAUUGGAUUGAGCUCGAACAUAGGAAGCAAAGUGGCUGGGGGCGUGAAUGAGAAACAACCUCGACAUAGGAGAAUUUCGCUCGAACAUGGGAUGGGAAUCGAUAUACAGAAUUGAGCUCGAACAUAGGAAGCAAAGCAGAGCAGUAAGGAGUGAGUUUAGGGUAGGGUUUCGUUUACUAAAUGACAUAGGUGCGUCGUGCAUAUUCUAUUCCAUUUCUUUCUUUAGAGUCAGCAGUCAGAGGUGUCAGGUUACAUCUUAUUAUAUACAAUAGUGAUUCUCUAUAUUCCUUCUUCAUUAUCUAGAUUCCUUCUUAUAGACUAUAGUAAUAAUUAUCUAGAUUCAAUGAUGGAAUUCAAAGAACAUCGAUUCGGCAACCUUGUUUUCAAGUAAAAGGGAAGAAGCGAGGGUUCGGCUACCUACCCAGUGUUGGGUUCCCUUACCGUCCCGUUAGCGCAUAAAAGAAUUUCUUUACUUGACUCUCUAUCUCGUAUUAACCUAGCUGUCAAUAAAGUUGGGUCAGAAAUGAAGUAUAAUUCGGGUGCAAAUACCGUUGACAGUUCUAUUGAUGUUUUCGUCGAGUUGAGAGAAUCCGCAGUAACAGAAUCCGUAGUUCGAGUUAAGUGGACCAGAUCAAUGGGCGAAGCAUUAAAGGAGACGGAAAGAGUCAGUCCGCAAGCGAGUAUGUCACCUAAAUGACUUACAAUACAUAAUAAUGGCAUAUUCAGAUCCGAGUUGCCGCAUUAAUCAUCUGAAACGUGAAACGUCAACUUUGAAUGGCUCCUAGCUUGCUUUUGGACAAGUAGCUACAUCUUUUCUGCCCCCAGGCCGAGAACUUCGUAUCUAUCUGAUGGCAGGACUUCAAGUGUAGGCUCAAACUCCAUCAAUCCAAUCAAAGCUUUGUUCUAUAUCAUUUUGGACAUCGGUUAAGACUCUAAGAGAGAAUCUUCCGAACCAGCUAACAGACCUACAACAUGAGAUUUCUCAUUCAGAUCUUUUUAAGUGAUGCAAAAUCCUGUAUAGACCCCUAAACAUUAAGGACAUGUAAUCCAUCGUGCCAUCUCCGCAAAAGUUCCUAUGUUCAGUUAUGAGAGAAGGCGUCGAUGUCAAGUUUCUAUUUCGAUUUAUUCUAUGGUUCUUCGAUUCCAUACUAGAUCCUGGGAACAAUCUAUUUCCGUAAGAUCCAUUUGUUUAUUGUUCAGGAACGGAACUUUGAGUGGUGGGGCAAAUCACUAUGUAGACUUCAUCCGAAGCGGUUGUUCUCUCUGCUUAUCUCCUUCUUAGAAUCAAUUCCUUUACUUUACUCUAAGAGGGGACCUGCUAAAGGUAUCGAGACAGGGUCAGUAAGGCUCCUCAAGUAAUUCAAUCGUGCGCUUGUCCCGGCUAACAAAGUCUAUCAGUGGGUUCGGCCUUGAAAGAUAGAGGCGAACAGGAAUUGGAAUUCUCCGAGUUGGUAUGGUUCACCGAAGAUGUUAUAGCAUGGUUUGUUCACACGGGUGUUUUCGUGCAUUCCUACAUUAACUACUUUCCUCUUUCAGUAUAGUAUUGGCUUUUCAAUAAAAGUGUAUCAAUAGAUAGGGCAAGUUUCUGAACACUAAAUAUAGGGCUCUCUGCUUCGGGUAAUUCUUUUUUAGGCUUCUCUGGAUCUGGAAAAGUCCAUAGGGGCGGUGGCAUGGAAGGCCAUAUUCUACAUUUUGUAAUGGAAUUCUUCUAGUUUCAUAAACUCUUUAUUUGGCUUUGGCCCGCUAAGCCUGUUUCAGACGAAUAAAUCGGGGUAGGUAUUUCAGCAACUGUAACUCACUCAUACUCAUUUGAGUACAGGUAGGGUAGCAUGGACUACUUGCGAGUCCGGAAUUGGAUUUCUAUUCCUAUGGGCUAGUUCCGCUACUAACAACCUAAUCUCUUUAUAGUUAUUGUUGAAUAGUUUAUGAACAAUAAUGGGUCAAACUCAUCAGAGAAUAUAUUAAUAUAGAGAUACUCUUAAUGCGCAUAGCGUAAGGAGCUGAGCUGUUGUAAUUCAAUUAUCGUGAACAGUGUAGACAGGUGCACCAAUAUCCAAAUACGGGGUUGAUGCCACUUUGAAUUGAUGAUGCGGAUUCUAACCUUGGCAAGUCUUGAGUUACCCGGCUUAGAAUCGAUACCGACUUAAUAUAAGGGCCACUACUACUGAUGCAACAGGACUACUACUACUACUUGGACUACUACUAUAAGGGGCUGUUUCUUUUUCUGACUGCUACGACUAUGAGUCUGAUACUGGAUAUGGUAGAUUGUGUACCUCUAUGAGUACUCCCUAUUACUAAUAUACGCCUUUGGGCUCUAGCUCUUCAUCAAAGAAUGCAAGAUAGGCUCGGUAGCCUGAUCAAGGUGAACUAAGGACUUUAGGUAUGGAGAGGUCGACUCGAACACUAACAAGCAAGGCUCUAAGCGCGGAUAGGUAGAAUGCAAUAAGGGAGUGCCAGGCCCUAAUUCAGAAACUUCUAAUAAAUAAAGUAUGGAAGCCUUUAGUGGCAGGGCAAAGCUCCGAGUAAUGAAUAAGAAACUGUAGUUUUAGGUUUCAAGCAAAGAGAGGUAGGCCCGAACUCAUAAGUCAGCAAGUAAGUUGCGGUGGGCUUGGAGACACUAGCGGAAUUCUCAUCAUGUGGGGGUAGUUCUUGUGGAUUGGGGGAUCAGCAGAUAAAGAAGUUGAGGUACCAGUUGGAUUCUCUUAAGUAGCGGUUAUCACCUGAGAAGCACCAUUUCCAUUCUUUUCUGUGUGUCAAUCAAUGCCUUAGAGCUAUGCCCGGGAUCCUAUAUUCUAUUAUGUGUUUCUUCUUAGUUGGUGUACCAGUGAAUUCCUGUUCAGUUAUCAUUAGUUCAAUCCGCUAGUUAGUAGUUUCAGAGUGAAAGAGGAAAUCCAGUUGAUGGGAAAGAGAUAUAGGCUGGUUGCCGGGAAGGGAAUACUAAAGCUCAUAAGCCCUAUUUCGGUUCAAGGAAAGUCAGUCUAACAAUCGAACUAUAGUAUUGAGGGCAGUAGUUCCAGAGUGAGUGUCGGGGUUAAAGUAUUGUUGGCAGGCGAGAUUCCUACUACUGAAAAGAUACUAAUUGGGCUUAUUCCUAUUAGUUUAUUUCCUACUCAUUAGUUUAUUUCCCGCUUAUGAGUCGCCAAGCAACUACUAAUGUUCUGUAGUUUUUGUUGAAGCCUUAUUCCCAUGGUGGAUUCUGCUACUAAUGAGUUGAAGCCUUUUACUGCCGAUGUUACUCAUGAGUUGAAUCAAACAAGCAAAUAGAAGACUCAAGCUCAUAAGCAAGAUGCGAGAUCGGGCUUAGAGUUGAGCUAUAAAGAGUGAAAUACAAGAGUGCCAGACCUGAACUAAAGACUUGAGGGCAGUAGCUUCAGAGUGAGAGUUGGGGCGGACCAAAAGGGUGAAUUCUUGAAGCUUUCUUUAAGUAAGGUUCGAUUCUUUGACUUGUUAAGUGCAUUCUGGCUUACUACGCCCAGAGUUACUACUUGGAUUCUGACUUGAUGGUUGUUGUCCUCUGCUUCUUAACGAUAUUCUGUAUUUCGAGUGUUCUUCUGUUUAGUGCUAGUUUCAUUCAGAGAACUCUCUUCACUUCUGCAAUGCCUAGUUCCGGGUGUAAGUCCUAUCGGCACAGGUUUGAUUCUUGUUAUUAGUGCUUGGAUUCCGAGUUGUGAGUUACAGUUUCAUAAAAUCGGUAUAGUUGUUCCUAGUUGGUGUCUAAAGCCUGAUUUCCUUGGUUCAAUCCCUGGGACCUUCCACGACCCGACCGGAGACUCAGUGGUUGCACCGCUAAAUGAUAUCUUAGAAAAUCCAAGAAUGACUGCUUUCACUCAAAAGUCCAAAUCAAAGAACGAAGCUAGAAGAACUAAGCUACAAGCAGGGGGCUUCAACUCAAAAGAGAGAAUGGAACUAGUACUGAUAAGACCUUAAUGGGCUGCUAACAGGACUUGAGGCACUACCGGAAAGAGUGUAGCUACUGCUGAUGAGAACUCAACAAGUACGGGCAAGGCUGCUAUCACUGUUAACAAGACUCUAUCUCUUGUGGGUAAUUGGGCGGUUUAGCUAAUCCUACAAUAAAGAAUGAAGUGAACAAUCCAAAGAGUAUAACUGGUGCCUAAUAGACUAUCCAAGGUGCUUCUCAUACUUUUGACUCCUAAUAGCAGAAUCCGAUUACUGCCUAUUAGCCUGUUACUCGUUCUUUCACUCGUGGAUGAUGAGCUAUAAGACUCAGAAUGGAAUGGAACCUAACAUAGAAAUAAGUAACAAAAGGGUAGGUAGGGAGAAAUAAGUAACAAAGGGUAGGUACAUAGAAAUAAGUAACAAAAGGGUAGGUAGGGACACUCCACAGCUUGAAAUGGGAGUAGCGGAACUACAUUCUUUGGACCCCUACAAUACAAGGGAAAGCGUCAACGCUAACUCGCAUUAUUAUCUUAACUGUUACCCUUUGCUUCCCGCAACACCAGCACCCGAGCGGAACCUGCACUCUAAUAGCUGCUUCCUUUCUCACUGCUUCAGAUCUUAGAACGUAACUUCCCGCUUCAAAGCAAGUACCCGCUCUUUCGUCUUCUACUACUCUAGGAUAUAGCAUAGCUUAUGCCUCUGAUCUAUAAGAUGAUGAUCCAGUCUCCGCUCUCGUCGACAACACUAGAACAGAAAAGAAAGCAGCUAAUAGGACCACUCAAUACUAAUCCUAUGCCAAUCACUAUUGAUAUACGUAGUUGAGUACUUUAGUUCACCUCUUUAAACCUACCUCUCCCCGGUUUGACUCUUACUUGACUGUCCUGUCGGUAUGAGCUCUAAGACUAAUCGAGUGAAAAGAGGUUAUGGGACUAAUAGGAAUAAUGGGAAGGUACCCCCACUAGGACAGAACACGCUCUCAACUGGGAAUCAAGUAAAGCAGUAAAAGAAUACAAAAUAGAAGUUGGAACUCAACUCAUUAGUAAAAGAAGGGGAACUUGGGUAUCUGAACCAAACUCGGUAUUCUGAUAUUUGUUAUAAUAUAGAUAUGCCUCUCAGGCUGUAGCUCACCUCUUGCACUCCGGGGCACAUACAAGCAGUAGACUAAUAAAUAAUAAAAGAAUAAUCUAAUAUAGAAUACAUAAUAAGCACCAUAAUGAGACUAUAUACCAUUAGCACUAAGUUAAGAUAUAGCUUCUACUAAACAAAUAUCAAUACAUAUCAAUACAAGUAAACUGAGUCAUUAUUCUAAAUGAAAAGAAGAAUAAGUAUUACCAUAAGCAACGCAGGCUUAUAUGAGGGAGUAGGGGAAUUCAAGUCAGCCAGGACAGGCUAGCACUAGCACAUAGGAUAGGCUCCGGGUGUCGGGUUCUUAUCUGAUAUCUCAUUCUUCCGCCUCUCAGUCACAAGCGAAAGUCUUAUCAGCAGCGACUCCCUGAUUAGCGUAGGAAUCAGAUUUGGAUGUGAGCACAGUUUGGACUACUUAUCUAGUAAAUGAAAACGAACAAGCAAGCCUUAAAGACAGGAUCGGUAGACUCAUAGAUUGGAUAUGGAUACUAAUACUAAUGGGUGAAAUACCUAGUUUAGGCAGGAAGUCCGAAUCAAAGCAAGGAUAAUAGUCAAAAUCCAAGUCAGUAGCUAAAGGCUAAGUUCACAGCUCUAGUUUUGGUUUGGUUAGCGCAUCGACCUUGCCCGUACCUGUGCAUUUCUUAUUGACAGCGUUUUCAGUCUAAUGGUUCACACCCUGUUCCAAGUGAAAGUAUUCGAACAGGCUUUCAACCUAUUACUUACUGGGAUAGUAGCAAGAACAAAGCUACCCGCUAUUAGAAUUGGGCUAGCGCCAACAAGCCUGUCCUUGCUUACUUUUAUACUGAUACGGAGACAAUACUUUGACUCACUAGCUCGGUUCUGACUUGACCAAACAAACCUAUCUCUCUGCUCUGCUCGGGGAAAGCAUGAAAUUAAUAUAAGAACACGGAACUCGGGCCAAGCAACUGCUAUGCUACUAUUAGAAUCAAGAUAGGAAUACAGAAAUGAACUACUACUAUGCCACUAUAGGAAUGAGCUACUAAAGUCAGACUAAUAGGUAGGUGGAAGCUAACCCUAUUGUAAUAGAAUAGAUAAGUGAUCAAACUAUUAUAAGAGAAUAGAUAAGUUACAAAACGAAACCAAUUCUAAUAUAAGUCAACUUCAUACCAAAUUGAAUAAUCAAUAAGUAAACUAAGAAUCAUAAUAAGGAGUAAGCGCCCUAAUAGUAGUACGGGGAUGAAAGUCAGGAUAAAGACCAUAAGAUCAGGAAAGGCAGGAGAAAUAUGACGCAGUCUUCCCAAUGAUGGUACCCAGACGGCACCCUUGAAAGAUAUUAUGGGAGGUCGGACGUGUAAAGUGAAGAUUGAUCAUCGGCAACUGACCGCUUUCACUCUAACAUCCUAUUUGCUUGCUUUCCCUCUCACAUCCUAUUUCAUGUGAUGUCUGCUAUGUUUGUCGACCUCUGCAACCGCUGUUGUCAUCGUCUCGAUUUGAUAUGGGGCUGAACGAAAGAAAGUAAGUACCAACUGGUCAACAUUGGUCAACAUUCGCGGUAGGUCAGAAAGCUAAUUGAGGGCAAAACACACACCUAUUAUUCUUUCUUCCCAGCCUAGAUAAUCAAACACUAACAAGGAAUCGAGCACGAAGAUAAAGGUUUGGUUCCUACUUGAAAAUGAAGGUGCUGAAAGCAUUACAAUUGUAACGCCUAGAAAGAAAAAGGGAAGUUUGUACUUUCAUAAGCCGUAGAAUGCCUCAUAUGAGAAAAAGCUUAAUUGAACUCCUGUGUUAUACCUGAAACCAUAGAGCUGCUUCGAGAGGAUAGGCGAGGUUGAAGUCACCAAGCAAGCGGUAAAGACCAUAUAGGAGUUUUAUGCUCACGGAAAGUAUUUAGUUGGCUGGUUCUUUGAUUUAUCCCUUGUGCUCUGUGGGAAUUGAAACCCAUCUUAGCUGUACUAGCCCCUGACCAGUGAAUGAGCCUACACAAAACUAUAUCUAUUCGAGUUAGUUCCACUUAUUAUAUGCAAUCUCGACUCUCCAGCUUAUGGUUGAGAUUUUGUCCUCGGGCGGAGUCCACAUGAGUUCAUUGAGGUGUCUACACAGGAAAGGAAGAAUAACAUCAUCAAUUAGGUAUAUUCCUAAGAAAGUUAGGAUUGCUCCACCUCAGUCGAACGAAAAGAAAAGGAGGUUAUCAGGGAGGUUAGCUUGCUUACAAUAAUAUACCGGUGAAUUGGAAGGGAAGCUAGACUUAAGCGAGGUAGAUACAGUUUUCCAGUUAGGCAAUUAAGCCUUGAAGAAAGCAAGUCAGAUUUGGAUUAAGCAAUGUUAGUUUCCGAGUUAGUGGUUAGGAUGCGUUAGAUCAUACCUUUCUUCUUGAUUCUAUGUUUUAUUAUUGAUCUUAUUAGUUAGCAUCCAGUAUGUUACCAAACCAGGACUACUGAGUUGAGUUCUGUGAUACCGAGAUAUGAUUCUCCAUCCUGUUCGUCCACCUUAGAUGCCCGUUCUGUUACUACUGGAUUGAGUUCUAAUCCCUUGUCUGGGUAACCAAUUCUGUCACUGCUGCCUGUGAACCUGUAUUCACUGACUUUUAUGCUUACUUAUUAGUUGACCUCCUGCCUUGCUUUCUUGCUUGGCGAGUUACUUGGCCCUAUGUGCGCCUUUAAGUAAUAUAUUCCCGAUUAAGAUUCUAUGC